UACGGAGGGGGCUAGCGUUGUUCGGAAUUACUGGGCGUAAAGCGCGCGUAGGCGGACCUGCAAGUCGGGGGUGAAAGCCCGAGGCUCAACCUCGGAACUGCCUUCGAUACUGCGGGUCUCGAGUCCGGGAGAGGUGAGUGGAAUUCCUAGUGUAGAGGUGAAAUUCGUAGAUAUUAGGAAGAACACCAGUGGCGAAGGCGGCUCACUGGCCCCGGGUACUGACGCUGAGGCGCGAAAAGCGUGGGGAGCAAACAGGG
rnacentral:rRNA from 1 species